CGCGUAGGCGGCUUCGGAAGUCAAGGGUGAAAGCCCCGAGCUCAACUCGGGAACUGCCUUUGAAACCACGGAGCUAGAGUGUUGGAGAGGAAAGCGGAAUUUCCAGUGUAGCGGUGAAAUGCGUAGAUAUUGGAAGGAACAUCUGAGGCGAAGGCGGCUUUCUGGACACACACUGACGCUGAGGCGCGAAAGCUAGGGGAGCGAACAGGAUUAGAUACCCUGGUAGUCC
rnacentral:rRNA from 1 species